ensembl:miRNA mdo-mir-7398v mdo-mir-7398v
UGUGUAGAGGUGGGAAAAUAUGCCGUGUUUUCUUUCUAGGUAAAUCCUUACCUCUCGCAGU